UAGUCCACGCCCUAAACGAUGCACACUAGUUGUUGCAAUGCUAGUCAUUGCAGUAAUGCAGUUAACACAUUAAGUGUGCCGCCUGGGGAGUACGGUCGCAAGAUUAAAACUCAAAGGAAUAGACGGGGACCCGCACAAGCGGUGGAGCAUGUGGUUUAAUUCGAAGAUACGCGAAGAACCUUACCUGGACUUGAAAUCCUUGGAAUACUGUAGAGAUACGGUAGUGCUAGUUUACUAGAGCCAAGUGACAGGUGCUGCACGGCUGUCGUCAGCUCGUGUCGUGAGAUGUUGGGUUAAGUCCCGCAACGAGCGCAACCCUCGUUCUUAGUUGCUAACAGUUCGGCUAAGCACUCUAAGAAGACUGCCCGGGNAACCGGGAGGAAGGUGAGGACGACGUCAAGUCAUCAUGGGGCCCUUAUGUCCAGGGGCUACACACGUGCUACAAUGGGUUAGGACAAAGAGCAGCGAUACC
rnacentral:rRNA from 1 species